AGGAAGGCAGCAGUGGGGAAUAUUGCACAAUGGGCGAAAGCCUGAUGCAGCGACGCCGCGUGAGCGAAGAAGUAUUUCGGUAUGUAAAGCUCUAUCAGCAGGGAAGAUAAUGACGGUACCUGACUAAGAAGCACCGGCUAAAUACGUGCCAGCAGCCGCGGUAAUACGUAUGGUGCAAGCGUUAUCCGGAUUUACUGGGUGUAAAGGGAGCGUAGGCGGUUUUACAAGUCUGAUGUGAAAGCCCGGGGCUCAACUCCGGUAUUGCAUUGGAAACUGUAGAACUAGAGUGUCGGAGGGGUAAGUGGAAUUCCUAGUGUAGCGGUGAAAUGCGUAGAUAUUAGGAGGAACACCAGUGGCGAAGGCGGCUUACUGGACGAUUACUGACGCUGAGGCUCGAAAGCGUGGGGAGCAAACAGGAUUAGAUACCCUGGUA
rnacentral:rRNA from 1 species